UGAAUAGUGACAAAUUAAUAAUUACACAUUGCUAAUUAUAUUGCUAGCUAAAAAAUAAGGCUAAUCCUGCACUUUCACUUCAUUAGCACCUGCUCAAAUCUCAUCUUCAUAAAAACAAAUUUGUCAAAUCUGGUGCAUUGUUCCUCACAGUUAAACAAACGAAGUAGUUAGAUAAGAUUCGAAACGGCUUAAUUUCCAAACUCACAUACAAAUGACUACUUAGCACAUAAUGCUCUAGAUACUUCUUUUGAAAUAAUACUGUUCAGCAGUACAUCUAACCAAUCAAUACACAGCUCCAAACUUAGUUUUAGCUCAAAGAAAGCAAGCAGGAUCAGUUGUUGCAAACAAAACAAACAAGAGCAGAUUUGAUGAUUAAACAUAAUUGAAUUUAUGCGAUUAAACAUAUCCAAAAUAUGAACAAUUCAAAAUCUCCAUUUAUAAGUCCAUUAGCUAGUUACAGACGGGCACAACAUACCUAGCAACAAAGAAACGCAAUAGGAAAGCUGACCAAAUAAAGAUCUGAGUACAGGAGAUGAAGUUCAGAUCCACAGCCGAGAGAAACAACAGCAAAACUCUUAAGCAAACCAGGAGUUAACACCAAAACCAAAGGAAUUUCAAGCUUACUUUUCAAAUUCUAAUUUUCUCUUCCUAAUUUGUGACUUUUAUCUUUUUUUUUUAGGGGAAUUCCUCAGAUCUGGAAUCCAAUUUGAAUUCCAAAAUUUGUUUUUAGCUAAUUUUGAGUGCCUUUCGUGUGGUAAGUGUAUGAAGGAGAAAUGCUGGCGGCUGGAAUCCUUUGGAGAGGAGAAGGUCUGCUGGUUCUUUUAUGGGAGAGGUGAUGGCUACCCUAUUGAAGAUGAGAGCGUCGUUCUUUUUAGUUCAAGAGAGGAGGGUCCUCAUC
rnacentral:lncRNA from 1 species